UGGGGAAUAUUGGACAAUGGGGGCAACCCUGAUCCAGCAAUGCCGCGUGAGUGAUGAAGGCCUUCGGGUUGUAAAGCUCUUUUGCCAGGGACGAUGAUGACGGUACCUGGAGAAUAAGCCCCGGCUAACUUCGUGCCAGCAGCCGCGGUAAUACGAAGGGGGCUAGCGUUGUUCGGAAUUACUGGGCGUAAAGGGCGCGUAGGCGGUCUGAUAAGUUAGGUGUGAAAUUCCCGGGCUUAACCUGGGGGCUGCAUUUAAUACUGUCAGGCUUGAAUCCGGGAGAGGAUAGCGGAAUUCCCAGUGUAGAGGUGAAAUUCGUAGAUAUUGGGAAGAACACCAGUGGCGAAGGCGGCUAUCUGGACCGGCAUUGACGCUGAGGCGCGAAAGCGUGGGGAGCAAACA
rnacentral:rRNA from 1 species